CCUACGGGCGGCAGCAGUGAGGAAUAUUGGUCAAUGGACGAGAGUCUGAACCAGCCAAGUAGCGUGAAGGAUGACUGCCCUAUGGGUUGUAAACUUCUUUUAUAUGGGAAUAAAAUGUUCCACGUGUGGGAUUUUGUAUGUACCAUAUGAAUAAGGAUCGGUUAACUCCGUGCCAGCAGCCGCGGUAAUACGGAGGAUCCGAGCUUUAUCCGGAUUUAUUGGGUUUAAAGGGAGCGUAGGUGGAUUGUUAAGUCAGUUGUGAAAGUUUGCUGCUCAACCGUAAAAUUGCAGUUGAAACUGGCAGUCUUGAGUACAGUAGAGGUUGGCGGAAUUCGUGGUGUAGCGGUGAAAUGCUUAGAUAUCACGAAGAACUCCGAUUGCGAAGGCAGUUCACUGGACUGCAACUGACACUGAGGCUCGAAAGUGUGGGUAUCAAACAUGAUUAGAUACCCUUGUAGUC
rnacentral:rRNA from 1 species